rnacentral:snoRNA from 1 species
UCGCAAUGAUGAAGAUGAUUCCAAAAAACCAUUCGUAGUUUCCACCAGAGGUUGAGAGACCUGUGUUGGCUAAAGUACCUUCCUUGGAUGUCUGAGCGA